CUGUGCCCUGCCAUGUUACAACACCGCACUCAUGCGCUCUCGCUGCCUCACUCAGACAGACAUACGCACAGUACCACGGCACCAAGAGCAGUCACACACAGAACAGCUGCAGGAUGGAAACUGGAAGUGUGGUUUUGCCCUUCUGAGGAGCUUUAGGUGAGUCUGACGCCUGGUCUUUCUGUCUCUUUGUAGAAUAGGAUAGCAACUGCAUGACUUGGGGCAUAGCAAGCUCCUAUAGAAGCCCCGGGUGCCUUAUCUUCAAAGGAGAAAUCUCUCGGAGCACAGCACUGGGGCUGAGGCUGUGCUGCUACAAGAUCCCACCACGCUCAGUUCGCUGCCGCUCUCUCCUGGUUCUGCUCUGUGCCCAGGAGAGCCUUGCUCCUCAGCAGGGAAGGAGUCAACAAGACCACGACAGCUCCCUCAGAAAGUAAGCAGGCUGCAAUAGAGCGAGCUGCAGUGCGAAGACCACUCCUGCUGCUGCAGAGCGUCUGCUGAGAGCUGCGAGGGCUCCCUGCAGAGCAGCCUUGCAGAGAAGGGGGCUGCAGUACAGAAGGACUUACCUUCUCCCUUUCUAUUUUCAUCUGCGAUAACUUACUGUCUAGCUCCAGAGUAUAAGUGGAUUUCUUUGUGCUCAAAUAGUACCUCAAGGCUGAUAUUACAGGAGAACUGAGUUUUUUUUUUAUCGUGAGAUCUGCCCUCUCUGCAUCAGUUAUUGAAAUAUCUCAAUAAUAGCUAAUUCCUUUCGCUACUCACCAAAACUCAGCUAAGCUUCUUGCAUAUCAGUAUUUACCUCCCAAAUGUAUAUUUGGUAGUACCUUUGUAGGAAGCAGUAGCUGAAUUUUGUAGGAAAACAAAAUCCUUUUUACCUUGCACUAAUUUUAGUAGUAGUAGUCUUACCCACUGUUUGAGUCAGUGCUAAUACUCAUUGCCCUUUCCAACCCAAAACUCUGAGUACACAAACGAGCACUGCAGCAGACAGUGUGUAACAUCGCACUUUGGAAGGGACCUACAGCUCCUAAUCUGACUUAUGGACAAAGGCACUGCUAUUCUCGGUCCCUUCCAGAUGUGUGAAUCCCUCAGCCAAACAAAAAAAACAAUCUACUAUGUACACAGCCACCGAGGGAAACAAACGCAACAAUAUACUGCUGUAUUGUGAGGAAUGAGACAAAUCAGCCACCAAAAAUAGACACGGCAGAACACUGCUUUGCUCACAGAGGAUGAAGGGCACCCAAUUUUUGUGGACAACACAGCCAGCGAGUGCAGGGGAGCAUGACUCAGCCUGAGCUUCAGGUGAAGCUUCGGAUAAAAGUGCACCUACGCCUUUAAGGGACACAACUAGUUAGACAAACCCGUGGCAAUAGGAUUCCAUCUAAUGUCAUUUUCUACCUAGCUUGGUUGCUUUUGUGCUGCUCACGUGCUGUGAAUUCGAUAGGCCUUGCAAAUGUUAUUAUCCUGAAUUAAAACUCUGGAAUUUUUUAACUCUUUGUUUCCUUGGCAAUACUGAAGACUUCAUGAACUGCACCUUAACGAUGCCAGCAUGCCAGAAGCUACAUAACAAUAUUUCAUCUGCCUUUUUUUCCUCUUGAAAUCCUCCACUUGCUAAAUUGACCAAAUCCAAGGAGCUGCUGUGCUGGAUGUGCCAGCGGGCGCUGCAAAGAGCAGUGCUUGGUUUCCUCAUAAAGCACCAAGUCCCAAGAGAAGAAAAAUCACAGAAUCAUCACAGAAUCACAGAAUGGCCUGGGUUGAAAAGGACCACAAUGACCAUUGAGUUUCAACCCCCCUGCUAUGUGCAGGGUCACCAGCCACCAGACCAGGCUGCCCAGAGCCACAUCCAG
rnacentral:lncRNA from 1 species